AACAAACGCUGGCGGUGUGCCUAAUACAUGCAAGUCGAACGGGGUAGCAAUACCUAGUGGCGCACGGGUGAGGAACGCGUGGAUAAUCUGCCUUAGAGUGGGGGAUAACUAGUCGAAAGAUUAGCUAAUACCGCAUAAGACCACAGGAGCUGCGGCUCUAGGGGUCAAAGGUUUUUCGCUCUAAGAUGAGUCCGCGUAAGAUUAGCUAGUUGGUGAGGUAACGGCUCACCAAGGCGACGAUCUUUAACUGGUCUGAGAGGAUGAUCAGUCACACUGGAACUGAGACACGGUCCAGACGCCUACGGGAGGCAGCAGUAGGGAAUAUUGCACAAUGGAGGAAACUCUGAUGCAGCGACGCCGCGUGAGUGAUGAAGGCCUUCGGGUCGUAAAGCUCUGUCGCAAGGGAAUAACACAAUGAAUGUACCUUGCAAGAAAGGAUCGGCUAACUUCGUGCCAGCCGCCGCGGUAACAC
rnacentral:rRNA from 1 species